GCAGAGGAACAGGUGUGGUGCAGGAGAACAGGUGUGGUGCAGAGGAACAGGUGUGGUGCAGGAGAACAGGUGUGGUGCAGGACCCUCUCCUCGUCUCUUACUUCUUGGCCUUGUAGACGUAGGCGCAGCGUUUGCCGAGGUAGAAGUCGACCUCGUCUCUGGAGUAACAUCCCUCCAGCUUCAGGAGAGCCGUGUGUUCGCGCUGGUUCCUCAGACCGCGCUUGUAGCCAGUGAAGAUGGCCUUACUCCACAGUCUGAC